rnacentral:lncRNA from 1 species
GGAAAAGCAAAACUAAAAAAUACUCAAACAAGCAAAAAAACACCAACAAAAAAUACAGAUAUGGUGUGUUUGAAAGCACCAGUGACAAUUAUAUGUCCUUGAAAAUCCUUGAAAACCUUUCACCAUUCAAUCCUGUACCCUGGUCUGUCAAACAUGCAUAUGGUUGCAUAUUUAAGGCAUGUCUUAAUUAUUAUCAUUAUUUUAUGAAUUUGAUGGCAUUUAUGCUGAUCAGCUGAGCCAAAUCCAAAACACAGAUACUCCCAGGAACAGCAAUCUAGAACUGAAAUCAUAAUCUGAAGUAGUAACCAGACUGAGGCUACUCAGUCCUCCCCUGAGGAGGGGAAAUAAUAACUUUCUGCUCUAUAAAAUUAGGCUUUUUGCAAAGUUAAUCGAUUUGAUUUUUGGUCACAUCAUGACUCUUGCUCCCUUUGAACUUCCUGUGCAGUGCCAUUUUGGGGUGUUUUUCAGGUCUCCUGGUUUUUCCUCCUCUUGUGUUUUCUGUUUACCUUCAUUUCCCAUCUCGGCCACUUUUUUGUGCCCCUUCUCCCACAAACCUUACAUUUUUUCAAUUCCUUUUGGAUUAUUUCUCUCUUCAUAAUUACUCAGAAAUUUUCACAUGGACUUCUUGCCAUUACUAAUUGCUGUUUUCCUGUAGCCAUUUCAUGAAUUUAUAAUUACCUCUUUGAUUGUUAGGAAUAAACAUGGAAUUAUCACUGUGGGGUUUUUUUAAAAACUGAAUUCAUAUGCUCUGAAUGAUGUCAUUUUGCUUCAGGAAAACAGAAAUAUCCAUGAAAUGGCAGUUUGCUGUCAUGAGAUCUAAAAACCUAAGCCAGCAGGAAACUGGUGUGAAGUGGUGAUGCCUCAUGAACUUUCUGAGCUAAUGAAGAAAUUUGCUGGUAGGCACGAUAUCUUCUGUUUUACUGUGCUUCGUCUUUAAAUACACAGAAAUGGCUUUAGACUUCAGUUAAAGUACUGUUGGGACUUGCAGGCGGCAAAAAAAGCAAGAGGAUACAUAUCAGAAAAUUCCAUGUUCUGCUUUGUGCUGUAGCAAACCGAUGACACUCUCAAAUAAUGAGUGAAAUUGCAGUUUAACCAGCCUUGCCAUUAAUGAUCGUGUAUGGUGUCUCUGGAAUUUUAAAAGCAGAAAUUGCACUAAGAUGUAUAUACAAAAAAAGAUAUUUACAUCAGCUGUGACAUGUUGUGAAAGUCUUGGGACUCCUUGUUGAUUAUGAGAUAAUGAAUCAGAAGGAGUGUUUGCUUAUUUAAAAAUAGAGUGGUAAUGUAAGCUAAAUGUCAUGUAUGUAUAAAAAUGGGGAUUAGCCUUUUUACAUCCCUGACAUGAAUACAUUCAUCUGUGCAGAAUGCAUUAAAAGUUAAGAAUAAAAACAGGAGAAAGGGCAAUUUCUUGCCUCAUCAAGCUAAAA